GAACGCUGGCGGCGGCCUAACACAUGCAAGUCGAGCGGAAACGAAGAGGUGCUUGCACCUCUGGCGUCGAGCGGCGGACGGGUGAGUAAUGCUUGGGAAUAUGCCUUAUGGUGGGGGACAACAGUUGGAAACGACUGCUAAUACCGCAUAAUGUCUACGGACCAAAGUGGGGGACCUUCGGGCCUCACGCCAUAAGAUUAGCCCAAGUGGGAUUAGCUAGUUGGUGAGGUAAUGGCUCACCAAGGCGACGAUCCCUAGCUGGUUUGAGAGGAUGAUCAGCCACACUGGGACUGAGACACGGCCCAGACUCCUACGGGAGGCAGCAGUGGGGAAUAUUGCACAACGGGCGCAAGCCUGAUGCAGCCAUGCCGCGUGUGUGAAGAAGGCCUUCGGGUUGUAAAGCACUUUCAGUAAGGAGGAAAGGUUAAGUGUUAAUAGCACUUAGCUGUGACGUUACUUACAGAAGAAGCACCGGCUAACUCCGUGCCAGCAGCCGCGGUAAUACGGAGGGUGCGAGCGUUAAUCGGAAUUACCGGGCGUAAAGCGUACGCAGGCGGUUUGUUAAGCGAGAUGUGAAAGCCCCGGG
rnacentral:rRNA from 1 species